CCUACGUGAGGCAGCAGUGAGGAAUAUUGGUCAAUGGGCGCGAGCCUGAACCAGCCAAGUAGCGUGAAGGAUGACUGCCCUAUGGGUUGUAAACUUCUUUUAUAAAGGAAUAAAGUGAGGCACGUGUGCCUUUUUGUAUGUACUUUAUGAAUAAGGAUCGGCUAACUCCGUGCCAGCAGCCGCGGUAAUACGGAGGAUCCGAGCGUUAUCCGGAUUUAUUGGGUUUAAAGGGAGCGUAGAUGGGUUGUUAAGUCAGUUGUGAAAGUUUGCGGCUCAACCGUAAAAUUGCAAUUGAUACUGGCAGUCUUGAGUACAGUUGAGGUAGGCGGAAUUCGUGGUGUAGCGGUGAAAUGCUUAGAUAUCACGAAGAACUCCGAUUGCGAAGGCAGCUUACUAAACUGCCACUGACAUUGAUGCUCGAAAGUGUGGGUAUCAAACAGGAUUAGAUACCCUAGUAGUC
rnacentral:rRNA from 1 species